rnacentral:rRNA from 1 species
UACAGAGGUCCCAAGCGUUGUCCGGAAUCAUUGGGCGUAAAGAGCGCGUAGGCGGCCCUGUAAGUCCGCUGUGAAAGUCAAGGGCUCAACCCUUGGAUGCCGGUGGAUACUGCAGGGCUAGAGUCCGGAAGAGGCGAGUGGAAUUCCUGGUGUAGCGGUGAAAUGCGCAGAUAUCAGGAGGAACACCGGUGGCGAAGGCGGGUCUCUGGGCCGAUACUGACGCUGAGGAGCGAAAGCGUGGGGAGCGAACAGG